rnacentral:rRNA from 1 species
CCUACGGGUGGCUGCAGUGAGGAAUAUUGCACAAUGGGCGCAAGCCUGAUGCAGCGACGCCGCGUGGGUGAUGAAGGCCUUCGGGUCGUAAAGCCCUUUUCCAGGUGACGAGGAAGGACGGUAGCCUGGGAAUAAGUGUCGGCUAACUACGUGCCAGCAGCCGCGGUAAAACGUAGGACACAAGCGUUAUCCGGAGUUACUGGGCGUAAAGGGCGCGCAGGCGGAUGUGUAAGUCUACUCUGAAAGCUCCUGGCUAAACUGGGAGAGGCGAGUGG